UACGUAGGUGGCAAGCGUUGUCCGGAUUUACUGGGCGUAAAGCGCGCGCAGGCGGCCCAUCCCGUCUGGGGCGAAAUCUCCCGGCUCAACCGGGAGGCGUCUCUAGAUACCGAUGGGCUUGAGGAGAGCAGAGGAGAGUAGAAUUCCCGGUGUAGCGGUGAUAUGCGUAGAUAUCGGGAGGAAUACCAGUGGCGAAGGCGACUCUCUGGGCUCUUCCUGACGCUCAGGCGCGAAAGCGUGGGGAGCAAACCGG
rnacentral:rRNA from 1 species